rnacentral:rRNA from 1 species
AUUGAACGCUGGCGGCAGGCUUAACACAUGCAAGUCGAGCGGGGUGAUGGUGCUUGCACUAUCACUUAGCGGCGGACGGGUGAGUAAUGCUUAGGAAUCUGCCUAUUAGUGGGGGACAACAUCUCGAAAGGGAUGCUAAUACCGCAUACGUCCUACGGGAGAAAGCAGGGGAUCACUUGUGACCUUGCGCUAAUAGAUGAGCAUAAGUCGGAUUAGAUAGUUGGUGGGGUAAAGGCCUACCAAGGCGACGAUCUGUGGCGGGGCUGAGAGAAUGAUCCGCCACACUGGGACUGAGGCGCGGCCCAGACGCCUACGGGAGGCAGCAGUGGGGAAUAUUGGACAAUGGGGGGAACCCUGAUCCAGCCAUGCCGCGUGUGUGAAGAAGGCCUUAUGGUUGUAAAGCACGUUAAGCGAGGAGGAGGCUCUUUUGGUUAAUACCCAAGAUGAGUGGACGUUACUCGCAGAAUAAGCACCGGCUAACUCUGUGCCAGCCGCCGCCGUAA